GCCGGUGUCAAUGACGCUGAGGAUCCACCCGUUCCCAUACCGAACACGGUAGUUAAGCUCAGCAGUGCUGAAAAUACUUGGUGGGAGACCGCCUGGGAAGAUAGGUCGAUGCCGGCA
rnacentral:rRNA from 1 species